GGGAGUGCUACCGGGCGACCGGAUGCGGAUCUCGAAAGCCUGUCCCAGUUCGGACUGGCGUCUGCAACCCGACUCCACGAAGUUGGAUUCGCUAGUAAUCGCGCAUCAGCCAUGGCGCGGUGAAUACGUUCCCGGGCCUUGUACACACCGCCCGUCAAGCCAUGGGAGCCGGGGGCGCCUGAAGUCCGGGACCGCGAGGACCGGCCUAGGGCGAAACUGGUAACUGGGGCUAAGUCGUAACAAGGUAUC
rnacentral:rRNA from 1 species